GACGAACGCUGGCGGCGUGCCUAAUACAUGCAAGUCGAGCGAGCGGAACCAACAGAUUUACUUCGGUAAGGACGUUGGGAAAGCGAGCGGCGGAUGGGUGAGUAACACGUGGGGAACCUGCCCCUAAGUCUGGGAUACCAUUUGGAAACAGGUGCUAAUACCGGAUAAUAAAGCAGACCGCAUGAUCAGCUUUUGAAAGGCGGCGUAAGCUGUCGCUAAGGGAUGGCCCCGCGGUGCAUUAGCUAGUUGGUAAGGUAGCGGCCUACCAAGGCGACGAUCCAUAGCCGGCCUGAGAGGGUGAACGGCCACAUUGGGACUGAGACACGGCCCAG
rnacentral:rRNA from 1 species